AUGAACGCUGGCGGCGUGCCUCAUACAUGCCAGUCGAGCGAACGGACGAGAAGCUUGCUUCUCAGAUGUUAGCGGCGGACGGGUAAGUAACACGUGGAUAACCUACCUAUAAGACUGGGAUAACUUCGGGAAACCGGAGCUAAUACCGGAUAAUAUUUUGAACCGCAUGGUUCAAAAGUGAAAGGCGGUCUUGCUGUCACUUAUAGAUGGAUCCGCGCUGCAUUAGCUAGUUGGUAAGGUAACGGCUUACCAAGGCAACGAUGCAUAGCCGACCUGAGAGGGUGAUCGGCCACACUGGAACUGAGACACGGUCCAGACUCCUACGGGAGGCAGCAGUAGGGAAUCUUCCGCAAUGGGCGAAAGCCUGACGGAGCAACGCCGCGUGAGUGAUGAAGGUCUUCGGAUCGUAAAACUCUGUUAUUAGGGAAGAACAUAUGUGUAAGUAACUGUGCACAUCUUGACGGUACCUAAUCAGAAAGCCACGGCUAACUACGUG
rnacentral:rRNA from 1 species